rnacentral:rRNA from 1 species
AUUGAACGCUGGCGGCAUGCUUUACACAUGCAAGUCGAACGGUAACAGGUCUUCGGAUGCUGACGAGUGGCGAACGGGUGAGUAAUGUAUCGGAACGUGCCCAGUAGUGGGGGAUAACUACUCGAAAGAGUGGCUAAUACCGCAUGAGAACUGAGGUUGAAAGCGGGGGGACCUUCGGGCCUCGCGCUACUGGAGCGGCCGAUAUCAGAUUAGGUAGUUGGUGGGGUAAAGGCCUACCAAGCCGACGAUCUGUAGCUGGUCUGAGAGGACGACCAGCCACACUGGGACUGAGACACGGCCCAGACUCCUACGGGAGGCAGCAGUGGGGAAUUUUGGACAAUGGACGCAAGUCUGAUCCAGCAAUGCCGCGUGCAGGACGAAGGCCUUCGGGUUGUAAACUGCUUUUAUACAGGAAGAAACACCUCCACGUGUGGAGGCUUGACGGUACUGUAGGAAUAAGGAUCGGCUAACUCCGUGCCAGCAGCCGCGGUAAACU